UCCUAAAGCGCGUAGAGACAGCGCGUUGAGAUCUCCAAAUCCAAAGGUCGUGGGUUCGAAUCCCACCUGGGAU